rnacentral:rRNA from 1 species
UGGGGAAUAUUGCACAAUGGGCGAAAGCCUGAUGCAGCGACGCCGCGUGAGGGAUGACGGCCUUCGGGUUGUAAACCUCUUUCAGUAGGGACGAAGCGCAAGUGAAGGUACCUGCAGAAGAAGCACCGGCUAACUAAGUGCCAGCAGCCGCGGUAAUACGUAGGGUGCGGGCGUUGUCCGGAAUUACUGGGCGUAAAGAGCUCGUAGGAGGUUUGUCACGUCGUCUGUGAAAUCCUAGGGCUUAACCCUGGACGUGCAGGCGAUACGGGCUGACUUGAGUACUACAGGGGAGACUGGAAUUUCGGGUGUGGCGGUGGAAUGCACAGAUAUCAGGAAGAACACCGAUGGCGAAGGCAGGUCUCUGGGUAGUAACUGACGCUGAGGAGCGAAAGCAUGGGUAGCGAACAGG